rnacentral:rRNA from 1 species
GAUGAACGCUGGCGGCGUGCCUAAUACAUGCAAGUCGAGCGAACAGACGAGGAUCUUGCUCCUCUGACGUUAGCGGCGGACGGGUGAGUAACACGUGGAUAACCUACCUAUAAGACUGGGAUAACUUCGGGAAACCGGAGCUAAUACCGGAUAAUAUAUUGAACCGCAUGGUUCAAUAGUGAAAGACGGUUUUGCUGUCACUUAUAGAUGGAUCCGCGCCGCAUUAGCUAGUUGGUAAGGUAACGGCUUACCAAGGCAACGAUGCGUAGCCGACCUGAGAGGGUGAUCGGCCACACUGGAACUGAGACACGGUCCAGACUCCUACGGGAGGCAGCAGUAGGGAAUCUUCCGCAAUGGGCGAAAGCCUGACGGAGCAACGCCGCGUGAGGGAUGAAGGUCUUCGGAUCGUAAAACUCUGUUAUUAGGGAGGAACAAAUGUGUAAGUACCUAUGCACGUCUUGACGGUACCUAAUGAGAAAGCCACGGCUAACUACGUG